rnacentral:misc_RNA from 1 species
AAGUCGUAACAAGGUUUCCGUAGGUGAACCUGCGGAAGGAUCAUUAACACGUAUCCAAACGUUAAACAACCUGUGAAUAUUGGUCUAGUAAAUCAUACUCUUAACAAGGUUUUGAGUUAGAGGAUGGCGCACGAGUAGCACCUGUAUUGGGUCGAGCGUUUCCAACUAUCCACUCCUGGUGCCCCCAAGCAACCAUCAAUCUGAAAGUGUUUGGUGAAUUGUGCAAGGGCAGCGCAGUCAACGAUCGGUGGUCCACACGGCCAUCGACCGGGGGUCGUUACCUCCCUGUGGGGCCAAGUUCAUUCAGGUUGAACAUGAUGCAUGUCUACCGCGCCCGACGAAAGUCCGACGCACCCCUAACCGAACAACUGUUAACAAUGGAUAUCUUGGUUCUC